GGCGAGCGGCGGACGGGUGAGUAAUGUCUGGGAAACUGCCUGAUGGAGGGGGAUAACUACUGGAAACGGUAGCUAAUACCGCAUGACCUCGAAAGAGCAAAGUGGGGGAUCUUCGGACCUCACGCCAUCGGAUGUGCCCAGAUGGGAUUAGCUAGUAGGUGAGGUAAUGGCUCACCUAGGCGACGAUCCCUAGCUGGUCUGAGAGGAUGACCAGCCACACUGGAACUGAGACACGGUCCAGACUCCUACGGGAGGCAGCAGUGGGGAAUAUUGCACAAUGGGCGCAAGCCUGAUGCAGCCAUGCCGCGUGUGUGAAGAAGGCCUUAGGGUUGUAAAGCACUUUCAGCGAGGAGGAAGGCAUCAUACUUAAUACGUGUGGUGAUUGACGUUACUCGCAGAAGAAGCACCGGCUAACUCCGUGCCAGCAGCCGCGGUAAUACGGAGGGUGCAAGCGUUAAUCGGAAUUACUGGGCGUAAAGCGCACGCAGGCGGUUUGUUAAGUCAGAUGUGAAAUCCCCGCGCUUAACGUGGGAACUGCAUUUGAAACUGGCAAGCUAGAGUCUUGUAGAGGGAGGUAGAAUUCCAGGUGUAGCGGUGAAAUGCGUAGAGAUCUGGAGGAAUACCGGUGGCGAACGCGGCCCCCUGGACUAAGACUGACGCUCAAGUGCGAAAGCGUGAGGAGCAACAGGAUUAGAUACCCUGGUA
rnacentral:rRNA from 1 species